rnacentral:miRNA from 1 species
AUAACCCGGGCCAAAAGCUCAC